AUGAACUGUUCUCUGGUUCUGUCCGUAAUCUCUUGUUAAGUAAAUGCUUAUCGUCUGUAUUUCCAACCCACUUUCAAGGAAAAUUUUUCCAUCCUAGGCAAGAGCAUCAAAAUCCAAAAGAAGGGCGAGGAAGGUACUGUGAAAUCUGAUUUCUGUCCUUUCAAAAUAAUAGGAGAAAAAGGAGAGUAAUUCAGGUUAAUUAUUAGCUUUUGCAAUUUUCUUGUAGUUUCUGGCCUGUUUUUCCUUCCGGUGCAGAGAGCAGGUCAUGGGGGGGAGACAGUUCCCCGUUUUUCCCCCCGUGUAUUUCUCAGUGCACUUACUUUUCUCUCUUCAGCAAAGCAAGCGGUGUGACGGCUAUCACCCCUCAUCACGGCUCACAAUGUGAAUUUGGUGAUGUGAUUUGUGCUAAGCCUUCUCUUCUUCAAGUUGAACAACCCCAACUCUCUCAGCCUGUCCUUGUUGAAGCUCCAGCUCUUGGAUCAUCUCUGUGGACUCCUCUGGACUUGCUCCAACAGCUCCAUGUCCUUCCUGUGCUGAGGACUCCAGAACUGAACAGAAGCUCCAGAGGGAACCGAAGAACCCAACAGCAGUUUGCAUUUUUGGAGCUGGAGAAUAAAAGCUUCGGUCGGGAGUUUUUGGAACGUAGAGGUCGAACAAGGAAGAGGAGUUCAGAGCUGCUCCAGCAGAGAUGAUGUUUACUUUCAAGAAUAUGCUUGGAACUCAUAAAUAUUUGCCCAAAAUAUGGCAUUCUGGAUUUCAUUUGCCGAACACUGUUUUUUCCUCUUCAUCGAUCCUUGGGUGCUCAUUAGCAUGGAGGAUCUGUCGUAUUAUGAGCUGAACACUGCUGCAAGAAAAGGCAAUUAAUUAAAGCAGGAUCCUUGUGCUGCCAGCAGAUCUUCUCCAUUUUUCAUACAAGAAAAGGCAAGGUGCACAGUAAGUGCAAAUGCAAAUUCUUGAUGUUUGCGACAAAACCGGUCAACUCACUCAGCUGUCGAGAAAUUGUCUGUAUUGAGUGAGCAGACGUAGAAGAAAUGGCCAAAGCCGAACUCUGGAGUCGGGACAGACAG